rnacentral:rRNA from 1 species
AACGAACGCUGGCGGCAUGCCUAACACAUGCAAGUCGAACGAGACCUUCGGGUCUAGUGGCGCACGGGUGCGUAACGCGUGGGAACCUGCCCUUAGGUUCGGAAUAACUCCCCGAAAGGGGUGCUAAUACCGGAUAAUGUCUUCGGACCAAAGAUUUAUCGCCUUUGGAUGGGCCCGCGUUGGAUUAGCUAGUUGGUAGGGUAAAAGCCUACCAAGGCGACGAUCCAUAGCUGGUCUGCGAGGAUGAUCAGCCACACUGGGACUGAGACACGGCCCAGACUCCGAAGGGAGGCAGCAGUGGGGAAGAUGGGACAAUGGGCGAAAGCCUGAUCCAGCAAGGCCGCGAGAGUGAUGAAGGCCUUAGGGUUGUAAAGCUCUUUUACCCGGGAUGAUAAGGACAGUACCGGGAGAAUAAGCUCCGGCGAACUCCGG